UACGUAGGGUGCGAGCGUUGUCCGGAAUUAUUGGGCGUAAAGAGCUUGUAGGCGGUUUGUCGCGUCUGCCGUGAAAGCCCAGGGCUUAACCCUGGGUCUGCGGUGGGUACGGGCAGACUAGAGUGUGGUAGGGGAGACUGGAAUUCCUGGUGUAGCGGUGAAAUGCGCAGAUAUCAGGAGGAACACCGAUGGCGAAGGCAGGUCUCUGGGCCACUACUGACGCUGAGAAGCGAAAGCAUGGGGAGCGAACGGG
rnacentral:rRNA from 1 species